GCACUCUCACCCAUCGCAGAAAUGGAAAGCCAAGACGACAACAAAAAUCCCCUUAAUGGCUUUGCAGAAAACAUGUCAUCAUCGCUGCCAUCCUCCUACCUCCUCCCUCACAGAAGAGCAGGCGUGCUCACAGAGGCGCAACAAAAGGAGCACAGAAAUGGUCUUAAGGCGCACAAGGCAAGAAAAUAAAAAGGACUACAUCACCUCAAGGCCUCCUUUGUAGAGACAUACGCAGCAUACACAGAUCACUACUGUUUAUUAUCAAAGCCUCCCCAGUGAGCUUGGAUCAACUUUACAAAGCAAAUUUUUUUUUUGACAUUUCAAUGGAUAUGAGAGGCUUCAAGUAAAGAUGUCAUCAGAUCCAUAAUCUAAAAGCGGACCAGUGGGUUAUCUCCUCCACCAAAAAGACUUCUUGAAGCUCUUCCUCCCACUGAGGCUCUUUUGUUUUUUUGUUUUUUGUUUUUAUUCACAGCUGUAAGCAAGUUUUUGCAGAGGUGAACAGAAGGAGUCAAAUGUUGAACAACAGAAACAGGAAUCUUACGGGCCCACAAUAAAGUGGAAACCGUACAGCUUUAACGGGAACAGAUCAUGCUUUUCAAAUCCUUCCUUUAUGUGGUCGACAUAAAGUGGAACUGCAAUGCAUUAAUCUGAAUUCCUCGUAAAUUUACCCCCACGUUCCCCCUGUCUUACCCCUGUUCUGAGGUUCGUCUCGGAUGCAUCUGUUUUUUUUUUUCAUUUUUGUAGUAUGCUGGGUGACAGUCUACCGAAUUGUGUGAGCUAAUACACCCAACAACCAGGCAUUUUCGCUAUUUCACUUGUAGCUUCGGCAUCCAUGAGCUUGGACUACAAAAAUGGGGCAAAAACAUUAAAAAAAAGGCCUAUUCACAAAAAUGGCAAGCCGAAACUCCAUGUUGUUUAGCAGCUCUGCAGCAAAUACUGUCGUCAUUGUUCAAAAAACGUCACCGAGAAUACAGAAAACUGAACGGCUUGAAAAAUAUGACCUUAACAGAAUAUAAAGAUAUCGACGCAGCUUCUGGAGAGGCUAAAUUCAAAAUGUCUGCACUCUUAGAGACUCCAAGUAUGUAGUAAGUGUAUUUUAUAAUUUUUUGCAAAAACACAUUUAUUAAAACUGUCUCUUUGCCCUGAUGGUAAAAUGUGAGACGGAUAAUCUGUGAAAAAUCUCUGGCUCCUCCCCAUCGUUCAAGCUCAAGAUUGCCAGUGAGCUGCAGCUGUGCGGAGAAAUGGCUGAGAAACAACCUAUAGCAUUACAGGAGAACUGCCAGUUUAGUGAGCGGCACCUGCUCAGAAAGCAAAGACAGGUACACAGAAGAAACCUGACUACGACAAGCAAGCUAAAGAGAAAGAAUUAGGCCAAGCCCGAAAUAAAACGGGGGUAAACAUCUGUGGCAGAGGGACCUGUUAGGUGUACUUGUUCAAAUUUUCCACGGUUUUCUCAGCGCUCCCCACUGCAGCUUUAUGGGAUAAGAAAGUGGAUUUUGAAUGAGAUGUUCCCUUUAACAAGAGCAGCAUGGAGUCCCCAGAGCAGGGACCACAGAGACAACACGACUGAGAAAGAACAGGAAUUGAUUGUUUGGGUUUAACUCAACUCUGAAUUGUCUGAGAAAAAUAAAACGAUUUUUAUUCUUUA